rnacentral:misc_RNA from 1 species
GAUGAAGAACGUAGCGAAAUGCGAUAAGUAGUGUGAAUUGCAGAAUUCAGUGAAUCAUCGAAUCUUUGAACGCACAUUGCGCCCCUUGGUAUUCCGAGGGGCAUGCCUGUUCGAGCGUCAUUAUCACCCCUCAAGCUCAGCUUGGUGUUGGGGCCGGCCCGUCACAGGGCCGCCCCUAAAAGCAGUGGCGGUGCCAUCUGGCUCUACGCGUAGUAAUACUCCUCGCGACAGAGUCCCGGUGGUGUCCUGCCAGAACCCCCCAUCUUUUUAAUGAUUGACCUCGGAUCAGGUAGGGAUACCCGCUGAACUUAAGCAUAUCAAUAAGCGGAGGGA